GAGUGUGUAACAACUCACCUGCCGAAUGAACUAGCCCUGAAAAUGGAUGGCGCUAAAGCGGGCCACUUAUACUUUGCCGUUAAGGCGAUAGCAUAUGUAAUGUUUGCCUUAAUGAGUAGGAGGGCGUGAAGGUUGUGAAGAAGCUCGUGACGUGAGUGGGAGUGAAACAGCCUUUAGUGCAGAUCUUGGUGGUAGUAGCAAAUAUUCAAAUGCGAACU
rnacentral:ncRNA from 1 species